UUAUUUUUUCAAAUGUAUGAUUUAGCUAUUGAGCUUAAAUAUUCGUGAAAUAUAAACUGUUUAUCCAAUAAAAUAUUUUUGUGCACUCUACCAUGUUUAAGGCUCGUACAGUUAAUCAAUUGAGGUUCUCUUAUGACCUAACACGUUGUUUGAGAAUUGUGUACACUUGUUAGCUGACUCGGUGGGUUGAUCUCCAUCGGGCACUAACCAGAGGCGUUAUAAGGGUGCUCGACGGGAUGUGUUCCGGAGCAUGGUAAUGAUAGGCCUGUCUGGAUUAAUUUCCGAGGUUUAUUAUACUUGGCUGGGUUACGCCCUCAGUUCAAGUCAGCGGGAGACAGAGAUCCGUCGGUGGCUAGAGGUCCGGGAUCACAGCGAGUAACAGAAUGGAGUGUGCAAACGCGCGAAAAAUAAUUAAGUUAAUGGCUGGUGAUGACGGGGCAGAGCUGAGGCUAGGGUUCAACUCCGUAUUUUGUCUUCCGCUAUUGCACUAGCAUUUAUUUGUCUUUUGUUUCUCCAACUUAAGACUUUUAUGUUAAAUUCUGAAUUAUGUUUUUAUCGAGCUUAAACUCUCAACUUCUAGCUCUAUGUUAUUUAACGUUGGUUAUCGGAAGCAUGAAACCGAACUUGUGAUCCUAAGGCUUUGAAUGUUGUUGAUUGAUUAGUAUCACUUGAUUUC